UUGGCAAUUCUUCCAUAAUGUCAAUAACUACUUGGCAAAACUCUAUUGAUCUGAGAGAGUAGUCAAGCUUCGUUGAGUUUUAGGAUUGAGGAAGAAGCUUUGGCAGUCGAUAGGCCUCGUUUCUGCUGCUGCUGCUGCUUCUCAUAUUUGUGGCAGGAAGCUGCGCAGGGCCCAAUUUAUGGAGCUGCCGUUGCCGUUGUGCCUCACUCGAGGGCCAUCUCCAAUUACUGAUUGCCCGGGUACCACAU